GGCUCCUCUUUAAAACCAUCGAUUCUCGAUUUCCUCUCUCUUCAAAAAAAAAAAAUAAAAAAAAAUAAAAAAACGUAAUGAUUUCAGGUUCUCUAUGGCUUCAUUGCAGGGUCAUUCUCUGAAAGCUCUUGUUAUCUUCAGGAACUACAUGUAUCCCGAAUUGAUCAGGACUGUGCAUGUUUACCAAUUGGAGAAUGGGGUGGAAAAGGAAGCUGAGAGAGAGUAUGUUUUCCACAGUGAUAGCCCCUAUGAGGAAAUUGGGUCAUAUAAAGUUCUCACAUUGGAGAAAUUUCGGCCUUCGGCUCAGUUUGAAGGGCGUGUGAAUGGUGUGUGGCUUUGCAUUUAUGUUUUCGACGCCGAUCGACAUUGCCCUCCUAUUUUGGAUGGCAUUCCUACCAUACUCUCAAUUUCUAGGAAUCCUAAGCUGGCGUCAAUUCCAACAUUGGCCAAUGACCUUCAAAUCAUUUUCCAGUUCAACCACAGGAUGAAAGAUGGAGAGCAAUUGCAAAUUCCACCCAAGGAAACUAGCAUUGGGAACAGGGGCGGAGCAUUUCAGUUAAAGAGUCAGCGCAUCUUCGCUCUGGAUCUUAACUCUGUUCCGAAUCCAGAAUUAGAUAAUGAAGAAAGUGAUGAAGCAACAGGUAUUGUGGAGAAGAAAAAAAAGAGGGCAGCAACCAAAGAUAUAUCAAGGCUUGCUUUAGCAGAUCUUGCGAAAUACUUUGAUCUUCCCAUAGUGGAAGCUUCAAAAAAUUUGAAAGUUGGACUCACGGUACUCAAGAAAAAGUGCAGAGAAUUUGGCAUUCCUCGUUGGCCACAUAGGAAGAUCAAAUCCCUUGACAGUCUCAUUCAUGAUCUCCAGGCAGAGGUAGAACAGCAACAACAGGAGGAUGAGGCUGCAGCCAUGGUAGUUGCAAAGAGGCAAAAAAUGUUAGAAAAUGAGAAGGAAAGCAUAGAGAAGAAGCCCUUCAUGGAGAUUCAGAGGGAGACCAAGAAAUUCAGACAAGAUAUAUUCAAGAAGAGGCACAGAGCUAGAGCUCUUGAGAAUCAGAUCAGAACCAUGCCCCUAUUCUAGAGCAUCGAGCAGUAAAUAUAACGGAAGCGAGGACUUAUAUUGGGAAACUCUCUUAAAGUCAAAUAAAAUUCAAUGCCACGGUUGAUUUCAUGCUGGAUCACUGUUUUAUUGGUGAUUUUGUGGACCCCUCAUCAGUCCACUUGUUUUGGCCAAAGAGAAUGCCCACCAAGGAACCUUAUGACGCACUUGGGAGUCUGGCAAGUUGAGGACCGACUAUAAGAGAAGCGAAUCAGUGUGUGGAUGCCCCAGCUGCAGAGGGCUGUAAUGAUUACAUUUACUUGUGUUUCUUUUUCAACAUGUAUUAUCAACUGCUUGACGUAGAUGCUACAAUACAAUGGUUUUAUACUUCAGAACAAGAGUUGUUUGUAGUUAGUUCUUAAUGAAAAUCUUUUUUCUAGCUGAAAAAGAAAUAAAGCAUUGUCUGAGGUCUC